CCUGGACAUACAUAUAUUUUGACUACAUUGAAAAAUAAAAAGUUUUGAUAGGAUAAAACCUAGAUUUACAAAUACAUUUGAUGUAGGAAACAAUAUAUGUUUUUGUAGUUUGUUUCAUGUGACAAAAUGGUGCCAGUGUUAAGACAAGAUGGCUGCUAUUGUUAAAGUAUAGUGGAAAACAAUAUUUUGUGGUAACAUCUGACAUGUGAUUAGGUUAUACCUCCAGAUUAUUAAACAGUUUAAAGGGGGGUAUGAUUAAUAAGGUAUGAGUAAUAAAAAGUUUGAGAAUUGAGAAUUUACAUGUUCAGAAAGAUUUUAAUAUAAAAGGAAAUUUAAAGAUUAUACAUCACAUGGCAUAAAUGUAAUGACCACUAGAUGGUAGA